rnacentral:antisense_RNA from 1 species
CUUGAGGGAGCCCAGCCACAGCGGCCGGUCCGCGGGGCGGUCCUGG